GAUGAAGAACGUAGCGAAAUGCGAUAAGUAGUGUGAAUUGCAGAAUUCAGUGAAUCAUCGAAUCUUUGAACGCACAUUGCGGCCAUAGGUAUUCCUUUGGCCAUGCCUGUUCGAGCGUCAUUUACACCCUCAAGCCUAGCUUGGUGUUGGGCGCCUGUCCCGCCGUUUUCGCGCGCGGACUCGCCUCAAAGUCAUUGGCGGCGGUCGUGCCGGCCCCCUCGCGCAGCACAUUUGCGCUUCUCGGAGGCCCGGCGGAUCCGCGCUCCAGCAAGACCUUUCACGACUUGACCUCGGAUCAGGUAGGGAUACCCGCUGAACUUAAGCAUAUCAAUAAGCGGA
rnacentral:misc_RNA from 1 species